UACGGAGGGUGCAAGCGUUAUCCGGAUUCACUGGGUUUAAAGGGAGCGUAGGCGGGUUGGUAAGUCAGUGGUGAAAUCCCCGAGCUUAACUUGGGAACUGCCAUUGAUACUAUCAGUCUUGAAUACUGUGGAGGUUAGCGGAAUAUGUCAUGUAGCGGUGAAAUGCUUAGAUAUGACAUAGAACACCAAUUGCGAAGGCAGCUGGCUACACAAUUAUUGACACUGAGGCUCGAAAGCGUGGGGAUCAAACAGG
rnacentral:rRNA from 1 species